rnacentral:rRNA from 1 species
GACGAACGCUGGCGGCGUGCCUAAUACAUGCAAGUCGAGCGGAUGACGGAGGAGCUUGCUCCUCUCGAUUCAGCGGCGGACGGGUGAGUAACACGUGGGCAACCUGCCCUGUAGAUUGGGAUAACUCCGGGAAACCGGGGCUAAUACCGAAUAAUCCUUCGGAACUCAUGGUCCGACGUCGAAAGACGGCUUCGGCUGUCACUACAGGCUGGGCCCGCGGCGCAUUAGCUAGUUGGUGAGGUAACGGCUCACCAAGGCCACGAUGCGUAGCCGACCUGAGAGGGUGGUCGGCCACACUGGGACUGAGACACGGCCCAGACUCCUACGGGAGGCAGCAGUAGGGAAUCUUCCACAAUGGACGAAAGUCUGAUGGAGCAACGCCGCGUGAGUGAAGAAGGUUCUCGGAUCGUAAAACUCUGUUGUGAGGGAAGAACAAGUACCGGAGUAACUGCCGGUACCUUGACGGUACCUCAUUAGAAAGCCACGGCUAACUACGUGCCAGCAGCCGCAGUAACAC